AUGAGAGAAGCGGCUGGCAAUGACUUUCAAAAACAAACUCUGCACAUUAAAGCAAGAAACGGACAAACCAGUUUGGAUAAACUAAGGGAACUUGGACUUUUGCCUACUGCCACCAGCCGAACCAGAUCAGACCCUGGCUGUACUGCUUGGGAUGGGCUCAGCAAUGAAGUGCCUAUUUGUUGGCUAGUUAAAAAUUGUUCUCAGCACCUGGGAAUCUCGUUCUCCCCUUGGGAAUUUAAAUUCCAGGGGCUCCGGGCCAGAUGGUGCGCGCUCACGGAAAGAGCUGCUGCGGCUGCAAGUACCGGGUCCCCGGUGUCAGAAAAGCCCCACGUGUGAAUCAACAGGCUUUGCAUCUCUGCUCUCCAAGGGUCUGCUCUGUCAGCAAGUGGUCUGAAAGCCAGGAAAUUGUGUUAUCGGCCGCAUGGCGACCGUCCUGUACAUUUUCUUUAUAAUUUCCUUUUUAGGGAGAGGGAGCCAAGCAUUGCCACCAAACAAGGACCAUUUAUGGACUACUCAGUCGCAUUUGCGAAGAGCUGCUGCGGCGGCCUCGUGAUCCUAAGCGUAAACCUUAGCCCAUCUCAGCCAAGAGCACAGGCUCAGCAUUCAGGAGAGCAGAAAAAAAUGAAAGCCGAAAGCUGAAGCCCGAGUUCUGCACAGACGGCUGUAUGGUGGCUAAUUUAGAAGGGAAAUUGCAACAUCUCCAGUGGUGGCAUUCGAUUUAUCAUACCCAGCUUGUCCAAAGACACGAAAAAGCUCCUUUGUGCUUGGAUCUUAAAUUCCCCAACAGAAAUUUCUGUUAUUUUUCUUGUAGGUUUUUGAAAUAAAGACAAUUCUUAAGGAAUGAGACA
rnacentral:lncRNA from 12 species